AGGGUUUGAUCCUGGCUCAGAACGAACGCUGGCGGCAUGCUUCAUACAUGCAAGUCGAACGUGAAAGACCUUCGGGUCGAGUAAAGUGGCGCACGGGUGAGUAACGCGUAGAUAAUCUGCCCCGCUGUCUGGGAUAACCUUUCGAAAGGAAGGCUAAUACCGGAUAACACGAUUUCUUUUAGGGGAGUCGUUGAAAGUUGCGGCGCAACGGGAUGAGUCUGCGUGCCAUUAGCUAGUUGGCGGGGUAAGAGCCUACCAUGGCUUCGAUGGCUAGCGGGUUUGAGAGGAUGAUCCGCCACACUGGAACUGAGACACGGUCCAGACUCCUACGGGAGGCAGCAGUGGGGAAUCUUGCGCAAUGGACGAAAGUCUGACGCAGCAAUACCGCGUGAGUGAAGAAGGCCCUAGGGUCGUAAAGUUCUUUAUCUCAGGGAAGAUAAUGACGGUACCAGAGGAAUAAGCACCGGCUAACUACGUGCCAGCAGCCGCGGUAAUACGUAGGGUGCAAGCGUUGUUCGGAAUCACUGGGCGUAAAGGGCGUGUAGGCGGAUUGUUAAGCAUGAGGUGAAAGCCCGGGGCUCAACCCCGGAAGUGCUUCAUGAACUGGCAAACUAGAGUUGGUGAGAGGUGAGCGGAAUUCCAGGUGUAGAGGUGAAAUUCGUAGAUAUCUGGAGGAAUACCGGAGGCGAAGGCGGCCUGCUGGUGCCAUACUGACGCUGAGGCGCGAAAGCGUGGGUAGCAAACAGGAUUAGAUACCCUGGUAGUCCACGCUGUAAACGAUGAGCACUCGAUGUGCGGGAUGUUCGACCAUUCUGAGUACCAAAGCUAACGCAUUAAGUAUCCCGCCUGGGGAGUACGGUCGCAAGGCUAAAACUCAAAGGAAUUGACGGGGGCCCGCACAAGCGGUGGAGUAUGUGGUUUAAUUCGAAGCAACGCGCAGAACCUUACCUGGGCUUGACAUCCCGGGACAAUCUCAGAGAUGAGACUUUCUCUUCGGAGACUCGGUGAUAGGUGCUGCAUGGCUGUCGUCAGCUCGUGUCGUAAGAUGUUGGGUUAAGUCCCGCAACGAGCGCAACCCUUAUUUUUAGUUACUAAUUCGUUAGGUUCUCUAGAAAGACUGCCGGUGACAAACCGGAGGAAGGUGAGGAUGACGUCAAGUCAGCAUGCCCCUUAUGUCCUGGGCUACACACGUGCUACAAUGGUUAAGACAAAGAGUCGCGAGCUCGCGAGAGUCAGCUAAUCUCAUAAACUUAGCCUAAGUUCAGAUUGUAGGCUGCAACUCGCCUACAUGAAGUUGGAAUCGCUAGUAAUCGCUGGUCAGCCAUACAGCGGUGAAUCCGUUCCCGGGCCUUGUACACACCGCCCGUCACACCAUGGGAGCUGGUCAUACCCGAAACCGUUAGCUUAACCAUUCGGAGAGCGACGUCUAAGGUAGGGCUAGUGACUGGGGUGAAGUCGUAACAAGGUAACCGUA
rnacentral:rRNA from 1 species